GACGAACGCUGGCGGCGUGCUUAACACAUGCAAGUCGAACGGAAAGGCCCUGCUUGCAGGGUACUCGAGUGGCGAACGGGUGAGUAACACGUGGGUGAUCUGCCCUGCACUUCGGGAUAAGCCUGGGAAACUGGGUCUAAUACCGGAUAGGAGCCAUUUUUAGUGUGAUGGUUGGAAAGUUUUUUCGGUGUAGGAUGAGCUCGCGGCCUAUCAGCUUGUUGGUGGGGUAAUGGCCUACCAAGGCGGCGACGGGUAGCCGGCCUGAGAGGGUGGACGGCCACAUUGGGACUGAGAUACGGCCCAGACUCCUACGGGAGGCAGCAGUGGGGAAUAUUGCACAAUGGGCGCAAGCCUGAUGCAGCGACGCCGCGCGGGGGAUGACGGCCUUCGGGUUGUAAACUCCUUUCGCUAGGGACGAAGCUUUUUGUGAUGGUACCUAGAUAAGAAGCACCGGCUAACUACGUG
rnacentral:rRNA from 1 species